UACGGGGGGAGCAAGCGUUGUUCGGAUUUACUGGGCGUAAAGGGCGCGUAGGCGGUCAGCACAAGUCAGUUGUGAAAUCUCCGGGCUUAACUCGUAAAGGUCAACUGAUACUGUGCGACUAGAGUGCGGAAGGGGCAACUGGAAUUCUCGGUGUAGCGGUGAAAUGCGUAGAUAUCAGGAGGAACACCGGUGGCGAAGGCGGGUCUCUGGGCCGAUACUGACGCUGAGGAGCGAAAGCGUGGGGAGCAAACAGG
rnacentral:rRNA from 1 species